AAUUCGAUUAGUUUGAUCAUGGCUCAGAACGAACGCUGGCGGCGUGGAUAAGACAUGCAAGUCGAACGGGACUACUUUUGUAGCAAUACAAAAGUAGUUUAGUGGCGAACGGGUGCGUAACACGUGGGCAAUCUGCCGAGAAGUGGGGGAUAGCUCGCCGAAAGGCGAAUUAAUACCGCAUAUGAUCAGAGGAGACAUCUCUUCGACAUCAAAGGUGGCGCAAGCUACCGCUUUUUGAGGAGCCCGCGGCCUACCAGCUAGUUGGUGAGGUAACGGCUCACCAAGGCUUUGACGGGUAGCUGGUCUGAGAGGACGACCAGUCACACUGGAACUGAGACACGGUCCAGACACCUACGGGUGGCAGCAGUCGAGAAUUUUUCUCAAUGGGGGCAACCCUGAAGGAGCGACGCCGCGUGGAGGAUGAAGGCUCUCGGGUUGUAAACUCCUGUCAUUUGAGAACAAGUGUGGGCAAGUAACUACUGCCUGCUUGAUAGUAUCAGAAGAGGAAGAGACGGCUAACUCUGUGCCAGCAGCCGCGGUAAUACAGAGGUCUCAAGCGUUGUUCGGAUUCAUUGGGCGUAAAGGGUGCGUAGGUGGCGCCGUAAGUCAGGUGUGAAAUUUCGGAGCUUAACUCCGAAACUGCAUUUGAUACUGCGGUGCUUGAGGACUGGAGAGGAGACUGGAAUUUGCGGUGUAGCAGUGAAAUG
rnacentral:rRNA from 1 species